UACGUAGGUGGCAAGCGUUGUCCGGAUUUACUGGGCGUAAAGCGCGUGCAGGCGGAUUGUUAAGUCGGGGGUGAAAUCCUGGAGCUCAACUCCAGAAUUGCCUUCGAUACUGGCUUUCUAGAGGCUGGAAGAGGUUAGUGGAAUUCCCAGUGUAGAGGUGAAAUUCGUAGAUAUUGGGAAGAACACCAGUGGCGAAGGCGGCUAACUGGUCCAGAUCUGACGCUGAGGUGCGAAAGCGUGGGGAGCAAACAGG
rnacentral:rRNA from 1 species